GGAACAAAGCAAACGAUACGACAAAGGCUCCUGAUCAAAAAGAUUAAAGAGGAUGAAUUAUUAUCCGCUGACCUUCCGCCUCAUUUUUACUGUUGUCUGCCUUCAAUCGUAUAUGAACUUGUCAGACGGGUUCAAGUGGAUUUCACUACCUUCGCAGAGGACGAAAGGACAUGUUGGCUCUACUGUUCACAUCAAGUGGUAUUACGAAUGUAAUGACUUUGGUUCCUCUAGAAUCUAUUACAACAAUAGACAUCUAUUCUCUCGAAACGCAAAUGAACAAAAUUAUUAUGCAUUGAAAAAU